rnacentral:piRNA from 1 species
GCGAUGACUAAGGGACAGAUCAG